UGGGGAGUAUUGGACAAUGGGGGCAACCCUGAUCCAGCAAUGCCGCGUGAGUGAUGAAGGCCUUAGGGUUGUAAAGCUCUUUCGGCGGGGAAGAUGAUGACGGUACCCGCAGAAGAAGCCCCGGCUAACUUCGUGCCAGCAGCCGCGGUAAUACGAAGGGGGCUAGCGUUGUUCGGAAUUACUGGGCGUAAAGGGCGCGUAGGCGGUCUUGUAAGUCAGGCGUGAAAGGCCCGGGCUCAACCUGGGGACUGCGCUUGAUACUGCGAGGCUUGAAUCCGGGAGAGGAUGGCGGAAUUCCCAGUGUAGAGGUGAAAUUCGUAGAUAUUGGGAAGACACCGGUGGCGAAGGCGGCCAUCUGGACCGGUAUUGACGCUGAGGCGCGAAAGCGUGGGGAGCAAACAGGAUUAGAUACCCUGGUAGUCCACGCCGUAAACGAUGAGUGCUAGACGUUGGGGAGCGAUGCUCUUCGGUGUCGACGCUAACGCAUUAAGCACUCCGCCUGGGG
rnacentral:rRNA from 1 species